CUUUUGUCAUUUUGUGAACAAACUCAACAAAGCUCUGGUUUUUUAGACUUUUUAAAAAUGUUUUGUGGUCUUAUCAUCUUAUGAAAUAAACUAUGGUCUUUGCUACAAAAUUGUUGAUGUUUUGAUGAGAAGGUGAGUUGUACUGCAGUUACAUUGGCAUAAACGUUACUACUAGUUAGAAGUAAAAACCUGUAGAUAUUUUAUAUUGCGUACACAUUUGUAUUGUUUGCAAACAUUGGGUCGUUCCAUUUAAUAUCCAAAUUCCUUGGGUUUACAUAUUUACUGUGGAUUCCAACAGAGUACUUAUUUACUGUCGAUUAAUAAAAUAAUUUCAACCACAGAUACAACAAAGUUCAUCCAUGGGGGUUGGGUGGGGGAACGGGGGUGGGGGGGGAGAUGUGCGGAUAAUAUUGUAGGUAUAAUAUUGUAGGUAUAUAUAAAUAAUAUAAUAUAUAAUAUAAUGAAUUUGGCACUUAAAUGUACAUGAUAUAAACUAAUUAAAGACAAAUAAAGACAGAUUAGACAAAUCGUGACAGGGGAAAGGAACAGGACUCUCGUCCCAAUUGACACGUAACCCCUAAAAUAUAUAUAGUAGAGCUGUGCGGUUCCAAAAAUUUUAUCUCGGUUCCGGUUUCGGUUUUUUUGGAACAAAAAAACCUCGGUUCGGUUCGGUUUCGGUUAUUUUCAAAAAAGAAGAACAGUACAAAUGUAUGAACUUAUUUAUGUAUGUUUCAAGCAUUUUUACUAAAUAGAUGAAUUUAUGUCUUUGUAAGUUUGUAUAAAUCUCUGAAUAUUUUAAAAGAACAAUUGGAAUUUAUUUAUGAAGAUGUAAUAUUUCUUAGUUUUUAAAAAAAUUUAAAGCAAGUUCACAAAAAUAACUAUCACAACUAAAAUAUCAACUAUUUGAGCACUUAAUACAGUGCAUAUUGUGCACAAAGAGCACAAUCUUGUUAUUUUCCAAACAUUUCAACCUGCAAUCAGGUGGGUGUUAAACGGGAAAUUAAAACCGAAACUACCGGUUUUUUGCGUAUAGUUUUUCGGUGCUGAAAAAAGUACCGGAAGAACCGAAUUUUUCGGUUAACCGCACAGCUCUAAUAUAUAGUUCUUAUGGGAAAAUAUGAGAUAUACAUCAAUGCGAAGCAUGAGACAAUACCUACAGGAAGAAAUAUUAAAUAUUUAGGAAAACGAAACAUGGCAAAAUCCUGAGGUUUGAAGGAAUUGAAUAUUUUAAUUUUGGAGCCCGGAAGCAGUUGCUUUCAUUUGUUACUACUACACCAGAUGCAAAAUUAAGUAGUUUUCAACUACAUUUGAGUUGCACAAAAUAUUGAUUCCUCCCAAUUAAAUGGUAAUAAAGAGUUGCAGAAGUGCUUGGACUUUAUAGAGACACAAAAGGUUGACAAAAAAGUGCAACCACUGUCACGCCAUGAUUCCCAAUGAUUUGUCAUCAAAAUGCACUUGUUAUGUCCCUAGCCAGUACUUCUUAUGAGAGGUAUUCACCCCUUGAAUGUUUGCCAUUUUGAGGGGUGAAUGUGUUUAAUAAUUGUACUGGCUAGGAACAUGGCGAUGUCCAGUAUAUUGCAGCAGUUACUCCAAAAUCAUACCUGGGCAAAGAUAAGAUGCCAACCUUCUGUGUGUUUUUGCUUCACUGAUUGGCUUACAGAUUUAGUCUGCAAGUCGUCAUUGGCCUAACCCUACAAUUGAUGCCACUAUAAAUGAAGGGCGCCUAGAUCUAGCUCAUCUUUUUAAAUGUAUUACUAACUGAAUGACAUUAAUAUAAAAAAAAAACAUGAAUUCAUCCUGAUAAUGGUAUUCUCACUAGAUUUAUCAAAAUGCAGUACAGUUAGUUACCAGAACAGUUUAUGUGAGAGUUCUUAGCAUUUGAAACAUUUUCCCUCACUACAUACAUGAUACGCCAAGAUCUUAGUUUACUUUAAAUCCUUAGUAGGGCUCUAGCCCUAUAUAAUUGCAAAUAAUGCUUAUUGUGUUUUAGCUGUGGUUAAAUGGCUGAAUCACUUCGAUGUAAAAUUGAGGAACAUUUGACUUGCUCUGUUUGUUUGGAACCAUUUAAAGAUCCCAAAGUUUUACCUUGUCUACAUUCAUAUUGUCAUGUCUGCAUUGUCAAAUUGGCCAACAAUGCAAAGUCCAAUACUAUCAACUGUCCCGAGUGUCGAUUGGCAGUAGAGGU